UACGUAGGGUGCGAGCGUUAAUCGGAAUUACUGGGCGUAAAGCGUGCGCAGGCGGUUUGCUAAGACCGAUGUGAAAUCCCCGGGCUUAACCUGGGAACUGCAUUGGUGACUGGCAAGCUAGAGUGUGGCAGAGGGGGGUAGAAUUCCACGUGUAGCAGUGAAAUGCGUAGAGAUGUGGAGGAAUACCGAUGGCGAAGGCAGCCCCCUGGGCCAAUACAGACGCUCAUGCACGAAAGCGUGGGGAGCAAACAGG
rnacentral:rRNA from 1 species